GAUGAACGCUGGCGGCGUGCCUAAUACAUGCAAGUCGAGCGAACAGACGAGGAGCUUGCUCCUCUGACGUUAGCGGCGGACGGGUGAGUAACACGUGGAUAACCUACCUAUAAGACUGGGAUAAUUUCGGGAAACCGGAGCUAAUACCGGAUAAUAUAUUGAACCGCAUGGUUCAUUAGUGAAAGACGGUUUUGCUGUCACUUAUAGAUGGAUCCGCGCCGCAUUAGCUAGUUGGUAAGGUAACGGCUUACCAAGGCGACGAUGCGUAGCCGACCUGAGAGGGUGAUCGGCCACACUGGAACUGAGACACGGUCCAGACUCCUACGGGAGGCAGCAGUAGGGAAUCUUCCGCAAUGGGCGAAAGCCUGACGGAGCAACGCCGCGUGAGUGAUGAAGGUCUUCGGAUCGUAAAACUCUGUUAUUGGGGAAGAACAAAUGUGUAAGUAACUAUGCACGUCUUGACGGUACCUAAUCAGAAAGCCACGGCUAACUACGUG
rnacentral:rRNA from 1 species